UUCAUCGCCUUCUCUCUUCUUCUCGAACCUUACUUUUCUCAGCUCAAAAAAAAACCAGAGAAAGAUGAGUGAAAUCGAUUAAUAGAAAUCGAGUAAGAGAAACUUAAAUCAAUCGAAACCAGAAAUUAAACCAAAAAACUUGAACUGGUGUAUGAUUUGCUGACCUAAAAACUCGUAUAAAAAACCCUAAUUUACAAAUCUUUCGCUCUUAGCUUGAAACUCUCAGAAGAAGAUUUAAUUGAAGAAUUAGAAACCCGAGAAAUCUCUAUCCUCAGAAGAAGAUUGAAGUAAAAUCUUUGGAGAUUCAGAACAAGAUUGAAAUAAAUUCUUUGGAGAUUCAGAAGAUUGAAGUAGAAUCUUUGAAGGUUCAGCUGGUUGGUGGACAUGAAGGAGAGCUACUUAUACAUGGUACCUUUCAGGUCCGAUUCUAUCCUAUACAAAUGUACAACCAGGACAGAAUGAUCUCCCACAAUUGAGGCCAAAGAAAAAGAUCAAGUAGAUGCAAUCCUGAAAAUUUUGGUGGGUGCAGAGCCGAACAAUUCGUUUUCUAGCUUCUCAAUCGGUGUAAAAGAUAAUCCUUUGAAGCAACCCAGGGCACAACAGAAAGAAUAUGAUUAGAUUGACUUAUCUGCAGGAGAAGAAAAGGGAAACUUUAUGUUUGGUGGUGCUAGACUAAACAAAAGUGGAAAGAUCAGAACAAAAAUCUAUAAUAAAGGUGGCAUUAUAAGGAAAUCAGAAGACAAGGUUGGAUAAGCGUAAUACGAUUUGAGUGAACAAGUUGUAGGUAAUUUCUUAAAUUCUUA